rnacentral:rRNA from 1 species
AGUGAACGCUGGCGGUAGGCCUAACACAUGCAAGUCGAACGGCAGCACAGUAAGAGCUUGCUCUUACGGGUGGCGAGUGGCGGACGGGUGAGGAUACAUCGGAAUCUACUUUUUCGUGGGGGAUAACGUAGGGAAACUUACGCUAAUACCGCAUACGACCUACGGGUGAAAGCAGGGGAUCUUCGGACCUUGCGCGACUGAAUGAGCCGAUGUCGGAUUAGCUAGUUGUCGGGGUAAAGGCCCACCAAGGCGACGAUCCGUAGCUGGUCUGAGAGGAUGAUCAGCCACACUGGAACUGAGACACGGUCCAGACUCCUACGGGAGGCAGCAGUGGGGAAUAUUGGACAAUGGGCGCAAGCCUGAUCCAGCCAUACCGCGUGGGUGAAGAAGGCCUUCGGGUUGUAAAGCCCUUUUGUUGGGAAAGAAAAGCAGCAGGUUAAUACCCCGCUGUUCUGACGGUACCCAAAGAAUAAGCACCGGCUAACUUCGUG